UCCAACAUUAUCCUCCAUCGCUCAGUCUGGAUCCUCAGCUCCUCCCCCAUGCGUGCGGGGCUUGAUUUGAUCAAAUCCUUCAACUUGGACCACUUAGGCUCAGCCGCACUUUUUACAACACUGCAUUUGGGCAACGCCACAACUUGCGCAGCACUUCAUCUUCAACAGCCGAGCGGAAUUUCACACCCCGAAAAGGCAGCGAGAGGAGUGGGGGGAAAAGACUUCCAGCAUCCACAGCAUCCUUCUCUAUCUCAGAAAUGGAGAGGGAGGUCAUAUUUUGCCCAAAGUGGCAUGGUGCGCUUUGGUUUUUGCUUUUGAUGAUGCUCUGUUCCUUUCAUGCCGCCAAUGCUGAGAUAACUUGCAGGUCAUGCCAGCCUGGAAAUAAGUGGCGUGCACAGCAGUUACUGCUGAAAUUCGACACAAGUCAAUCCGCAACAGGAUUAAAGGAAGAAGUUUUGGGACAUGGGGAUGGGGCAGGGAGAUCCGGUGCUGCAAGUGCUGAAAGUCGGCGGCUCCGUUGCGUAGCUGGGUCUGCUGAAUGCGCUCCGGAUCGGACGGAAUACAAAGAGCCAAGGCUGAAACGGAAUACAGACAAGAUGCACACAAAAGGCGAAAUUGGUGAGAGCGAGUUUGCAAACAUGAAAGUUUCUCAUGUUAAUAUGAGUGGUCAGCAGAAGGCCAGUGGUGGUGCAGGUUUUACCUCUGCCACCCGCUACAGAAAGCGCGCCAGAAGGGACAGUGAUGAUAAUAAAGCCAGAUCCCCCGGUUCAACCCAGAGUCAAGAACCGGGAGAGAGCAGGAGCUCAGCGGCCGGACGCAGAGUGCCGCGCUCUGAAUUGCGCUGGAGCGGAGAGGAGCGGAGAGCCGCCGGUCAGAGGCAGGAGGAACUAAAACUUAACAGUUCAACGUUCGCCUUGACCGGGGAUUCAUCUCACAACCAGGCUAUGGUGCACUGGUCCGGGCAGAACAGCAGUGUGAUUUUGAUGCUGACCAAACUAUUUGACUUCAACCUCAACAGUGUGACUGAGAGUUCAUUAUGGAGGUCAACUGACUACGGAGCAACGUACCAGAAGCUGAAUGACAAAGUAGGAGCCAAAACAAUACUCAGUUAUUUGUACGUGAGCCCGAACAACAAGAGAAAGAUCAUGCUGCUAACUGAUCCAGAGGUGGAGAGCAGUCUACUGAUCAGCUCUGAUGAAGGAGCUACCUACCAGAAGUACAGGCUGAACUUCUACAUCCUCAGCCUGCUCUUCCACCCCGAUCAGGAAGACUGGAUUCUGGCCUACAGCCACGACCAAAAGCUAUACAGCUCGGUGGAGUUUGGGAGGAGGUGGCAGCUGGUACAUGAGAGAGUGGCUCCCAAUCGUUUCUACUGGUCGAAAAUGGGUUUGGACAAAGAGCCGGGCUUAAUUCACCUGGAAACCAGCAUCUCUGAAGGACAGGCGCUGUAUGUCACCUGCAAGCUCCAGAACUGCACAGAUGCCAACAAGGGCAAACCAUUCCCCGGAUACAUUGACCCCAAUUCUCUGGUGGUGCAAGAUGAGUAUGUGUUUGUCCAGGUGUCAACCGCAGGGAGGCCAAUCUACUAUGUGUCUGCUAAAAGAGAUGUCUUUACACCCAUGAAGUUGCCCAAGUACACCCUGCCCAAGGACCUGCAUGUGAUUAGUACGGAUGAAAACCGUGUGGUUGCAGCCGUACAGGAGUGGAACCAGAAUGAAACCUACAACCUGUAUGUGUCAGACACGUCGGGGGUAUACUACACCCUGGCUUUGGAGAACGUGGUCAGCAGCAUGGGCCCCGAGGGCAACGUCAUGGUCGACCUCUAUGAGGUAGCAGGACUAAAGGGGAUGUUCCUAGCCAACAAAAGGACAGAUAACCAAGUGAAGACGCACAUCACCUACAACAGAGGCAGAGACUGGAGGUUACUGCAGGCACCGAGCAAAGACCUGAGGGGCAACAGCAUCCACUGCGUGCUACCGUACUGUUCAUUACAUCUUCAUCUUCACGUGUCUGCAAAUCCCUACACAUCUGGAAACAUAGCCAGCAGGGACUCAGCGCCGGGGAUCAUUGUCGCAUCAGGCUCCAUUGGUGCAGAGCUGACCACCAGCAAUGUCAGUGUAUUUAUCACCUCGGAUGCAGGAAACACGUGGAGACAGAUCUUCGACGAGGAGUAUGCAGUGCUGUAUCUCGACCAAGGAGGAGCCUUGGUCGCAAUAAGACACACUCCGCUUCCCAUCCGACACCUGUGGUUGAGCUUUGACGAAGGACGGCAGUGGAACAAGUACAGCUUCACCAACACUCCUCUGUUCGUGGACGGUGUGCUGGGAGAGCCUGGGGAGGAGACUCUCAUCAUGACGAUAUUCGGCCACGUCAGUCAUCGCUCAGAAUGGCAGCUGGUGAAAAUAGACUUCAGGUCCAUCUUCAACAGGAGGUGUACAGAGGCGGAUUAUCAGACGUGGCACCUACACAACCAGGGCGAGCCGUGCCUGAUGGGAGUGAAAAGAAUAUAUCGGAAACUGAAGUCCACAUCCAGGUGUGUUAUGGGAAAGAUGUACUCUGUGUCGAUGACGUCGGGCCCCUGUGACUGUACGGAGGCAGACUUUGAAUGUGAUUAUGGCUACGAGAGACGGACCAACGGCAAAUGCACACCUGCCUUUUGGUUCCAUCCAUCAUCGAUUUCCAGAAGUUGCACCACGGGGAUGACUUUCCUUAACAGCACUGGCUACAGGAAAGUGGUCUCUAAUAACUGUACCGCUGGAAUCAGCACAGAGUACACAGCCAAGAGGCAGCAGUGUCCCACCCAAGCACCCAAAGGUCUCCACCUGGUCACCAGCGAGGGCACGCUGACAGCCACACUGGGCACCAAUGUCACAUUCCUUGUUUUUCUGGAGGAGGGCGACGGGGCGAGGACAAGCAUCACACUGGACUUCGGAGACGGCCAUGCUCUGACCUACUCCAAUGUGAGCUCCAUUGAGGACGGGAUCAAACAUAUCUACAAAGCUGUGGGAAUCUACCGGGUGACGGCCACUGGAGAGAACAGCCUCGGCUCAGAGACGACCUUGCUCUACCUGCAUGUAACAUGUCAGCUGGAGUAUAUCCAUCUCUCAGCUCCCUUUGUGGCGGUGAGGAAUAAGGAAGUGAACCUCACUGCUGUUCUGUGGCCCAGCCAAGUGGGAACGGUCACCUACAUCUGGUGGAUCGGAAAUAACACGGAGCCACUAAUCACCCUAGAGGGAAGUGUGGCGUGCACGUUCUCCCAGGAGGGCAUCAGUACAGUCACUGUGCAGGUGUCUGCAGGGAACGCUAUUCUGCAGGACAGAAAAAACAUUGCUGUCCACGAAUAUUUCCGAUCUCAUCUGCUCGCCUUUUCAUCAAACCUGGAUGACCACAACCCUGACGUUGCAGAAUGGAGGCUGGAUGUAAGCCGAGUCAUCAAGAACUCUCUGAUCCAGGCCACAAGCGUGAGAGAGGAUCAUCUUCUGGUCACCGUCCUCCCCGGUUUACCCACAGUGGCAGAAUUUUUCCUUCUACCUGACAAACAGUUAACUGAGGGGAAACCAGAGAAGAGCUCUGCUCAUUUAGAUCAGCUCUCUGAGGUGCUGCUCAGUGCCUUAAAUCAAAACCUUGUCCAGUUCACAUUGCGGCCAGGGGUCCAAGUCACUGUGUACGCAGCUCACCUAUCAGCAGCGCCCCUAGUGGACACCAGCGAGAACCACAGUGGCUCUGCCAUGCUAAUGCUGCUUUCAGUAGUGGUUGUGGGUUUAGCUGUAUUUGUCAUCUACAAAUUCAAGAGAUCCCAGGCCUCAACGUCUAUGCGCAAAUGCAGAACGAAAAAGAACAAGAAAUGAUGAGUCCAGCUAAUCCAACAGAGGCCACGCCCAGCUCACAGCGGGAUUUGGUGCAUUCUUUGGAGAUUCUGGACACAGAGUUUAACUCACGGCCCAUCGAAGUGAAAUGGUCCGGUGAAGGAGUGAACGAGAGCUAAACAAAAAUGAGUAUGAUGAAAAGUACAGCUGCUUCUCGGCAGUACAACACACAUUGUUCUCCUCAGUACUGUCACCUUUUAAUCAACUCAGAAAACAGAUUGGUGACAAAUUAAAGAAAAAUCUAGUAUGAGGUGUCUUAGUUAAAGGAAGGUUCCAUUAUGAGCCUCUCAGCCACAACGCUCCUUGUCAUAGAUACUUCAAGUCUAUGGGACUAGUUGCACUCACAUGGGUUUUCAGCUGGGUUGGGAUCGGGUGCUAUGAAGGCCACAGUAUAUGAUUCAUGUCAUUUUUAUAUUCAUCAAACCGUUUCAUAAACCCUAUCUGAAGUAUCAGCAUUAGCAUUUUCUCAUGUGUCUCACCUCAUUUAUUUUGGUUUUUCCUUUCAUUUGUCACCCAUUUGUAUGUUGUGAUAUGAUAUUUGACUGUGAUAGCCUAACAUAAUGUCUGUUUCCCCAGCUUUUCUUAAAUGUAUGUAAAAAGUAUUUUUUCCAGAGGUAAAGAAAUUGUGCUAGGUGUUUGUGGCUCUAUGAAAUUUUAGGGUUUAACACCACUACCUGUUGAAUGUCAGUGCAACCAUGUCAUUAGCACAUAGUCACAUGUUGUGUUCUGUUUCAGUUUUCUUUAAAGUGAGACUGAGUAAGUUUUGAGAGAACAAAUAGCAAAUUGUACAAAUGAAAUGUUGAAUUUAUGACCAGAUACACAUUCGUCCCCAAUUCAAUACACUUUACAGCGUUUUGCCAAAACGACUAGUAGCUUACCGUGGCUAAUGUUAGCUAGUGUUAGCAAGAUUUGAUUGGAUAUUGCUGUGUAAUUGAUGUUACUGAGUCAGUUUACUGACUUGAGCAUUGUUUUCUUCUUGUGCCAUUGUUACAGUAGUAUUAGUAUUUGCCUUGUGGCUACAGUGGUUGGUGUUCAAAAAACUUUCAUAGUCUCACUUUGAUAGCUGCUUUUCUGUUUUCGUACAUCCUUUCUCAUCCAAUUUAAAAUUUAAUCAAUACUAUUUAUUUUUGAAACACUUCUUUUUCAGUAUGUAAAUGCCAGCUGACUUAUCUGGUGAAAGAAGUUUUACAGGUGCAUUAAUCAAGAUUUUUUACAUUAACAGUGACUCAAAUAACUGUGUACGCCCACUAAGAAUUGUCAGCAAAUUCUAAAAAUCCAUAGCGUUUUAACAGUAACUAACGUCGAUCCGUGUCUGAAACUGUGCCGUAUUGGGUCCUUGAAUUUGAGGGAAUUGGGUCUUAAUGCAGCAUAAAAGGAUGUAAUGCAACCAGCUAUAUUUUAUAGAUUUACUUUCUUGUACAAAAUAUCCUCUUAAAACCUGCUUUUUUUUCUCCCUCUCCUUUUUACUCCCAGGAUGUAUGAAACCUCAUGUACAUGUGAAAUUCUCCACAGAACUCCCCACGUACAUCGUCUAAACUCUGGAUCACCACUCCAGCUGUGUCAUGGAUAUUUUUUACCCUUUGGGAAACAAUGGUUUUGAGCUUUAUACCUGUGCAUGUUGGACCCUGCUGACACAUACUGUGCUCUGUUCAAACCAGAAGAAACUAUGUACAGGUUUUAAAUGUUCUUUUAACAUAUGUCCGAUAAAUUAAACAUUUUAAAAAUGUAUUUAUACAAGUCAGAUACAUAAUUCAGAGGGAACGCCAGCAUGAACUAGAGUGGAAAAAAUGAAAUAAGCAACACUGUUUUGGUUUUGCUUACAAAUCUGAGAUUGGUUUGCUGUUCUAUGAAGCUAACAGCAGUAGUGUAUUAUUUAUUCAUAUCAAUAUACUUUUAUGAAGUAUGUUAUUGAAGUUAAUUACACAUUUAUUUUCUAAAUUCAUGAAUGUCUAUUAUAAAUUUGUGUAUUUUAAUAACAAAUGUCAUACUAAACAGAAAUGCUGUUAUAAAAUAUGAAUAGGGUACUUCAAAGCUUUUGGUCCAUUGUCUCUUGGAAAGCUGAUUUAUGGCACAAUACACAUUUUCUACUGUUUUUUUUUCUGAUUUUAAUUUAUUAACAGAAGUACAGGGUUUGGUUUUCUGGUCUAAUGUAACAUUUGCUGUAAAUCUAAUUCUUCUGGUACUAUUUAUGAUACAUACCAGUUUGUAAAAUGUUUUGUGCUUCAGACCACUCAAUGGUUUUGGACUGAAAGUGAUCCCCAAAUAUCACCAGACAACACACCUGGGGGAGGUAUUCCAAAAUCGUCCUCAGACACACACCCCCACUGAAACUCAGAUUUACGGUGGCAGUUAGACUUCUUCUUUGUGAGAAAAUCUGAAGAGCAUGUCAGCGAGAAAGAGAGAGGCAGAGAGAGGUUAAGAGAGAUGGAAGAGUGCUUUUUGGGGUUGUGACGCAUUAAGAGCAUCCGAUUGGACAGAAUAAAGAAGAGGUUGACUUCUUGAAUACUUAAUAUGGCCAGCCAAGCUCAAGGCUGGCUAAGGUUGGUGACACAUUCAGGCUAAUGUCCUGACCCGCUCUCGAGUAGCACCCAUUUUCAUCCCAGCUCAUUAUACGGAGCAGGAGAACUAGAGCGCAGAUGCUACCAGGCUACACGGAUGGUUAGCUUGUUCAGAAGACUGCCAAGCCAUGUGGUACUUUGUGUGUGAAAUCUGACAGAUGUAAAUGCCUGAUUGACGCCUUUAAAAUCUUCGGAGGCAACUUUUCCAGAUUAGUUUUCCCACUUUUUAAUUUAUUUAUCCACAAAUACAGGGGGAGCGUGGUUUUGUCAGCACUGGAUGAACUUUUCUACAAUUAUUCGGUCAUAACUGUACAGAAAUUACCACAGUAGAUUCACCUUCAACGUAAUCAGUGGAGAAUGUAAGCAUAGGCCAUGCAGAAGAGUGAAAACUCACACUGGCUUCUUUGCAAAGCAUUAUUUCAUAUGACCUCUGUAACAGUGUUCAGACCCAUUACACACUAUACCAAGUACUGAGAAGUUGCUGCAAUUCAUUUUAGAUGAGUCUCAAGUGAAUUGCUUUUCAAUUGCAAUUGUGGAAUAUAUAGCAAAAUACCUUCGUAGCUCUGUAGUGACUAGCCAAAAAUAUUGAUAAGAAAAAGUGACGCUGUGGUGGGCCAUGAGGUUUUUUACCCCCUGUGGGAAAAUAUCUCUAAGAACAUCAUUAUUCUGAACUCUGGGAUUCCUCUUUAGUAGGACUCUUGCCUUUAAGAUUACAGAUACAAACAAAUAUUAAGUGAUGCUUUUGACACAAAGUCACAUAAAUUGUUGAAGUGAGUGGUAGGUUGCUUUCAAGAUUGGCCUACCAACCAAGCAAUUGGCCCCAGACUCAGUCGGGGGACUCAGAGGUGCUAGAUUCACUGUGUAUAAAUUAGUUUGUGAUAAUCUAAUUAAUUGCAAAUGUGUUUGUCAAUAAUGUAUAUACUGUUGAAAUUCAUUAUAAAUUGAAAUGAUAAAGGCCUUAAGAUAACAUCAUCAUGCAUCAUUGCAUCAUUACCUAGUCGUAAGGACCCAUCUUUUAGAGGGGCCCUAAGUUAUGAUCUGCCCUUUAUGUGUUUAAUGUGUUAUGCUACAUGGUGCAUUUUUAAGUUUCCACAAACUAACUACUAACAAAUUCAUACGGAAGGCACAGAGAUUGGGAGAAAUUAGAGGGUCAUGAAGGGCUAACAUCUCAUUUUGCCCUGGGGCUGGGUUUAAGUGGGUUAUUACGCCCCUGGUUGCUUAUUUAGCAAACACUACCAAACAAGGAAGCUGUUUGCCAUGUUUGCAGGUCCUGACUUGCAUACAGUGACUAACCAACAGUUGCUCAGGCAGUAUUACUUGUUUCACGCCUCGUGGCUCUACACCAUAACAAACGCUGGACAUGCUACAGACAGAAAACCAGUUAAACUGAAGAGUGAAUGUGAUAAAAUUGCUGUUUUUCUGGGCUGGAAAUAGUAUGGUGGCGUAUCCUGGCAGUGUGUUCACACACGUAGAGAUACAAAGAGCCUGAAAGAGGUGGUAUUAUGCUCAUUUUCAGGUUCAAAAUCCAAUUUAGGGGUUGUACCAGAACAACAAUGGUUUACAUGGUUUAAUUUAAAAAAAACACCAUAU